rnacentral:rRNA from 1 species
AUUGAACGCUGGCGGCAUGCUUUACACAUGCAAGUCGAACGGUAACAGGCCGCAAGGUGCUGACGAGUGGCGAACGGGUGAGUAAUGCAUCGGAACGUGCCCAGUCGUGGGGGAUAACGCAGCGAAAGCUGCGCUAAUACCGCAUACGAUCUAUGGAUGAAAGCGGGGGAACAUAAGGCCUCGCGCGAUUGGAGGGGCCGAUGUCAGAUUAGGUAGUUGGUGGGGUAAAGGCUCACCAAGCCAACGAUCUGUAGCUGGUCUGAGAGGACGACCAGCCACACUGGGACUGAGACACGGCCCAGACUCCUACGGGAGGCAGCAGUGGGGAAUUUUGGACAAUGGGCGCAAGCCUGAUCCAGCAAUGCCGCGUGCAGGAAGAAGGCCUUCGGGUUGUAAACUGCUUUUGUACGGAACGAAACGGUCUGGGUUAAUACCUCGGGCUAAUGACGGUACCGUAAGAAUAAGCACCGGCUAACUACGUGCCAGCCGCCCCGUAAAAC